GAGUGGCGCACGGGUGAGUAACACGUAGGUAAUCUGCCUUUUGGUGGGGGAUAACCAGGAGAAAUCCUGGCUAAUACCGCAUAAGUUGGUAACAAGAAAGGAUGCUCCGGCAUUCGCCGAAAGAUGAGCCUGCGGAACAUUAGCUUGAUGGUGGGGUAACGGCCUACCAUGGCUUCGAUGUUUAGCUGGUCUGAGAGGAUGAUCA
rnacentral:rRNA from 1 species